rnacentral:lncRNA from 1 species
GAAACUUCACAAAAGUAAUAUUUGCAUCUGUCUGCGGGUCUCCCUCCUAACAUUGUAGUUUAGAAAAUAACCUGCUUUUGUCAAAUUGACAGAUAUGUUUGUCAAAUGGCUUGUUGGGUGCGGUUAUUGAAGCACGGACAUUCACCCUCCUCUUAACUCUUUAAAUCACUGACCUCUUCACGCUACAGGACAUAAUAAUUCUAAGCCACUGACCUCUACACGACAUAAUAAUUCUAAGCCACUGACCUCUACACGACUGUUUUUAUUUGUUUCAUAACGUCCGUAGUCACUAGUUAAUGUCAUUCCCUUGGAGCAUGUGCGUUAUUUUCAUUGCUUGUUUGCCUUAUUUUGUUCUUUAUCGGAAUGUCACUGGCAUCAUUAAGUAUGCAAGGCUAAUAAUAUUCUUGCCCACAAACCAGUCAGCGGGGUGUUGAAGAUGGUGUUAUAUCUACUGAGUAGUAUAUGCCAGUCAUUUAAAUCUAGACCAGUGAACCUAAAGGAAGCUGUAUAUGCUGCUUAUCUUCAUAACAACUGUUUUUAUGUUAUGUUUACCAUUCACGAG